CAUCCGCUGCCGACUCCGCCCCCUGCGCAGCACGGCCCGCCCACAGCUGGGUAGCGGCAGGACAGCUGUCCGGUGGGCUCCCGUGAUGCAGCGCGCAGAGCCGUGUAGCCCCGGGCCCCCGGAGGAGGAUGACAGGCGGGAGAGGAGGGCGGUUUGACAGCAGCACCAUGAGCGGGGGCGGGGGAGGCAGCAGCGCGGCCCCGGGCCGUUUCGCUGAUUAUUUCGUGAUCUGUGGGCUGGAUACGGGCACCGGGCUGGAGCCGGACGAGUUGUCUGCAUUGUGUGAGUACAUACAGGCUUCUAAAGCCAGAGACGGGGCUGGACGUUUCUUACCCAGUGCGGCUGAAGGAGAGAAUUUUGAGCAGACCCCUCUGCGCCGCACCUUUAAAUCCAAGGUCUUGGCGCGGUACCCAGAGAACGUGGAGUGGAACGCCUUCGACCAGGAUGCCGUGGGCAUGCUAUGCAUGCCUAAAGGAUUAGCAUUUAAGACUCAGGCCGACCCCAAGGAGCCCCAGUACCACGCGUUCAUCAUCACGAGAGAAGACGGCUCUAGAACAUUUGGGUUCUCCCUCACCUUCUUUGAAGAAGUCACCAGCAAGCAGAUAUGCAGCGCCAUGCAGACCCUGUACCACAUGCAUAACGCCGAGUAUGACAUCAUCCACACGUCGGCGAGCAACGGCAGAGACUGCCCCGGAGAGUGCACCGACAGCUCCAUCACCAAGCUGCAGCGCUUCAACUCUUAUGACAUAACACGAGACACCCUGUAUGUGUCCAAGUGCAUCUGUCUCAUCGCCCCCAUGUCUUUCAUGACCGCCUGUAAGAAAGUCCUGGAGCAGCUCCACCAGGCUGUGACUUCCCCACAGCCGCCGCCAUUACCCUUAGAAAGUUACAUUUAUAACAUCCUCUAUGAGGUGCCUCUGCCCCCGGCUGGGAGGUCCCUGAAGUUUAAUGGGGUGUAUGGACCAAUCGUGUGUCAGAGGCCGAGCACCAAUGAGCUGCCCUUGUUUGACUUUCCUGCCCAGGAAGUGUUUGAGUUGCUUGGGGUGGAAAACGUGGUGCAGCUGUUUACGUGCGCCCUGCUGGAAUUCCAGAUAUUGCUCUACUCCCAACAUUACCAGAGGUUAAUGACGGUGGCAGAGACCAUCACAGGCCUGAUGUUCCCAUUUCAGUGGCAGCAUGUCUACGUCCCCAUCUUGCCAGCCUCCCUCCUCCAUUUCCUGGACGCGCCGGUUCCGUACCUAAUGGGAUUGCACUCCAAUGGGCUGGAUGACAGAUCUAAGCUGGAGCUGCCACAAGAGGCCAACCUGUGCUUCGUGGACAUAGACAACCACUUUAUAGAGCUGCCCGAGGACCUGCCGCAGUUCCCCAACAAGCUGGAAUUCAUACAGGAGGUAUCGGAGAUCCUUUUGGCCUUCGGCAUCCCCCCCGAGGGGAACCUGCACUGCAGCGAGAGCAUCUCCAAGCUGAGGAACCUCAAGGCAGCCGACCUGGUGUCCGACAAGAGGAACGGAAACCUGGCCGGCUCCCCAUUAAACUCCUAUGAACUUUUAAAAGAGAACGAGACUAUUGCCCGGCUUCAGGCGCUGGUGAAGAGGACGGGGGUCAGUCUGGAAAAACAGGUGGAAGUGCGGGAGGAGUCGAGCAGCAAAAAGGACGGCAAAGCUCACUGUGACGAGGAGGAGCUCCGAAUGCACCAACUCAACAUCCAGGUCCGGGAAGUCUUUGCCAACCGCUUCACUCAGAUGUUUGCCGAUUAUGAGGUGUUUGUGAUCCAGCCCAGCCAGGACAAGGAAUCCUGGUUCACUAACAGGGAGCAAAUGCAGAAUUUUGAUAAAGCCUCGUUCCUAUCAGACCAGCCGGAGCCCUACCUCCCCUUCCUCUCCCGGUUCCUCGAGACACAGAUGUUUGCUUCCUUCAUCGACAAUAAAAUCAUGUGCCACGAUGACGAUGACAAGGAUCCAGUUUUACGGGUAUUUGAUUCUCGGGUGGAUAAAAUUCGCCAGCUAAACGUCCGGACCCCCACUCUCCGCACAUCCAUGUACCAGAAGUGCACCGCCAUCGAGGAGGCCGUAAAAGCCAUAGAGCAAAGACUGUCCAAAAUAGACCACACGGCGAUCCACCCCCAUCUGCUGGAUAUGAAGAUAGGGCAGGGAAAGUACGAGCCUGGAUUCUUCCCCAAACUGCAGUCGGAUGUUCUUUCCACGGGACCUGCCACAAAUAAAUGGACCAAGAGGAACGCGCCAGCACAGUGGAGGAGGAAGGACAGACAGAAGCAGCACUCAGAGCACCUUAGGCUGGACAAUGACCAGAGAGAGAAAUACAUUCAAGAAGCAAGAAAUAUGAGCAGCGGGAUCCGGCAACCCAAACUGUCCAACCUGUCACCCUCUGUAAUUGCGCAGACCAACUGGAAGUUUGUGGAGGGGCUGCUGAAGGAAUGUCGGAACAAGACCAAGAGAAUGCUGGUGGAGAAGAUGGGAAGGGAAGCGGUAGAGCUGGGCCACGGAGAAGUGAGCAUUACAGGGGUAGAAGAGAAUGCUCUGAUCGCCAGUCUGUGUGACCUGCUGGAGAGAAUUUGGAGCCACGGUCUGCAAGUGAAGCAGGGGAAGUCAGCCUUGUGGUCACACUUACUGCAUUACCAGGACAGCAGGAGGAGAGCGACCUGGGGCAGUCUUGGCGGAACAGAUUUGGUACUGGACUGUGAGAGAAGGAAGUCUGACCCCUUUCUGGUCAUGUACCCCCUAAAGAUCUCACUUGUUCAGGAUAUGAGGCAUAUUCAGAACAUUGGAGAAAUCAAGACAGAUGUAGGGAAGGCGCGAGCCUGGGUCAGGCUGUCUAUGGAAAAGAAACUUCUGUCCCGGCACCUGAAGCAGCUGCUGUUGGAUCAUGAUCUCAGCAAGAAGCUGUACAAGCGCUACGCCUUCCUGCGCUGCGACGAUGAGAAGGAACAGUUCCUCUAUCAUUUGCUCUCCUUCAAUGCUGUGGAUUAUUUCUGCUUUACUAACGUGUUUACAACUAUCAUGAUCCCCUACCACAUCCUGAUUGUCCCUAGCAAGAAGCUCGGCGGCUCCAUGUUCACAGCCAACCCCUGGAUCUGUAUAUCUGGGGAGCUGGGAGAGACUGGGGUACUGCAGGUUCCCAGGAAUAUUCUAGAGAUGACGUAUGAGUGCCAGAACCUCGGGAAGCUGACGACUGUACAGAUUGGACACGACAAUUCUGGCCUGUAUGCCAAGUGGCUGGUGGAAUAUGUUAUGGUCCGAAAUGAAAUAACUGGACACACCUACAAGUUCCCUUGUGGGCGCUGGUUGGGAAAAGGAAUGGAUGAUGGCAGUCUGGAACGUGUGCUGGUUGGAGACCUGCUUACAUCCAGUACAGACACUGAAGAGAAACCAUGCCGGACCCCUCCCCUGCAGCACUCACCCAGCAUGAUCAGGAGGCUUGUGGCCAUAUCCCCCAAUAGCCGACCAAAAUUAAAUACGGGUCAGAUCCAGGAGGCUAUUGGAGAAGCAGUGAAUGGAAUUGUGAAACAUUUUCAUAAACCAGAGAAAGAGAAGUCCAUUUAGACCUUGGGUAACAGAUAAGAUUUGCAUCCAGUCCAAGACAACACGGACCCCCAUGCUACAAGAGGCAGUUUAACGUUAUUACUGUGCGGAGAGAACGGACUGGUGUCUGCCCUUGAACAAGUUUUCCAGCAUGGAAUCCGAUCCCCUCGGCUUUUCAAAAGCAUCUUCAUCUGGGACUUCUUAGAAAAAGCACAAGCUUAUUACGAAUCUCUGGAAGUGAAUGAAUUGGUGCCAGAAGAGGACUGGCAGAAACGGGCGCGGAAUUUCUCCCGCUUUAUUAACGCCAUUAACAACAACCCUAGAAACAUUGGGAAAGACGGCAAGUUUCAGAUGUUUGUUUGCUUAGGAGCCCGGGACCACCAUUUGCACCACUGGAUUGCACUGCUGGCCGACUGCCCCAUUAUAGCACAAAUGUACGAGGAGACGGCUCUAAUCAAGGACCACACGUUGGUGAACUCUCUAAUCCGAGUGUUACAGACACUACAAGAGUUUAACAUCACCUUAGAAAGCUCCCUCAUUAAAGGAAUCAAUAUCUGAAGCUUCCUGAGAACACAGCGAGCGAUACUUCACCCCCCCCAGCAGUGGGCGGCGACGUCUCUGUGGACCCCCCAAGUCCCGCCACAAAGAGAGGGGCUUCCGGGAGCGUCGGAGGAUUAGCAAGUCAGAUGGAGCGCCAUCCCUUGUGCGAGCGACUGGUUCAAGGAAAGGACCGAACCUCUUUUCUAGUUUGUUUUUCAUACAGAAGUGGUGAAAGUGACUAUUGCACAGCGUCAUUUCCCUGCUGCCAUGUCGGUUGCUUUCGUCCAAUCACGUCGCUCUCAUCCCGUCUCCGGACCACGGUGAAAGAUUUCUCCCCGUUUAAAUAUCUGUUCCAUUGUAUAGAUAUUUGCUUUGAAGGCAUGUCAUCACUUAUUUGCUGUCACAGAAAUAUAUCUCUAUUUUUCCAUCCGAUCGUGCUAGAUCCCGGUGUUCGUGCAGAAUUUCCCUUGUCAGUAUUACUGUCUGAUCGGAGGGGCGCAGCUAUUGUAGAUCACGCUACGCAGACACACAGUGAUUUUUUUUUUUCACCCCCCCUCGGCUUUAUUUAACUCAUUGUGUGUUUGUUAUUCUGUCUUUCUGUGGAACAAAGAUGUGUAACCAGCGACUACAACUCCCGGGACCAUGGGUGGUGCUGGGAGUUAGCCUUUUACAGCAGUUAGUGGGUUGCUGGCUGGAUAUCUAAACAGGGGUGUGUGGUAAUACAGGGGCAAUUGGUGGUUUCUUUAUUGGACACUCCCCUUCCUCGGAGUCUUUUCUAAACUGCCCAAUGUCAUUUGCUUCUUAUUCGCCUGUGACUCCCUCAUCCUGCUGCUUCUCUGGCCGCCUACCAUGCAAUAACUAAUGUUAGGUGAUGGCACCCAUAGGAACUGUUCCAGAAUGACCGGACCUCUGUCACGCCAUUUUCUAACUGUGCUAGACUUUAAACAAAUAAACCUAUUCUCACGGUUGGUCAUCUGGAUCAGAACCGAGAGGCACUUUUGCACAGAGCAGGCUAAAAAUAAAUAUAUUUACACAGUA